rnacentral:rRNA from 1 species
GACGAACGCUGGCGGCGUGCUUAACACAUGCAAGUCGAACGGUGAACCGGGCUUCGGCCCGGGGACCAGUGGCGAACGGGUGCGUAACACGUGGGCAACCUGCCUCAGACACUGGGAUAACCCCGGGAAACCGGGGCUAAUACCGGAUACUCCGACCGGACUGCAUGAUCCGGCCGGGAAAGCUCCGACGGUCUGAGAUGGGCCCGCGGCCUAUCAGCUUGUUGGUGGGGUAACGGCCCACCAAGGCGACGACGGGUAGCUGGUCUGAGAGGACGACCAGCCACACUGGAACUGAGACACGGUCCAGACUCCUACGGGAGGCAGCAGUGGGGAAUCUUGCGCAAUGGGCGAAAGCCUGACGCAGCGACGCCGC